UAUGAUAUACAUUUAUGAUGCAUUUAUAUAUCUAAAUCUAUAAACACACAUAUCCCUCAUAACCUAUUUAUAAAAAAUAAUGACAAAUAUUUUACAGAAAAAAAUUACUUAAUAUUAUGAUGCUCAAUAAUGAGAUUUAUCGAAGCUUUUAAAUGUUCCUUCCUAGGGAAGCCUAAGCAGAUCCUUCACAUCUAAAUUUGGUGCUCCCUACUUUUUUUUGUUUUUUUGAGACAGAGUCUCACACUGUUGCCUAGGCUGUAGUGCAGUGGUGCGAUCUCGGCUCACGGCAAUCUCCACCUCCUUGAUUCAAGCAAUUCUCCUGCUUCAGCCUCCUGAGUAGCUGGGACUACAGGCAUGUGCUACCAUGCCCAGCUAUUUUUUUUUUUUUUUUUUUUUUGUAUUUUUAGUAGAGACGGGGUUUCACCAUGUUGGCUAGGAUGGUCUCGAUCUCCUGACCUCGUGAUCCAUCCACCUCGGUCUCCCAAAGUGCUGGGAUUACAGGCAUGAGCCACCACACCCAGCCGAAUAUUUUUAAUAUAAAAAUAUCAGUAGAAACAUACAUAAUGCACUAUAUUACAUCUCCAGUUUCUAUAGGUUGUCUAUUAUGAUAUUGAACUAGGCUUUAAGGAGAUAAUUAAAUGCUAAGAUCAGCAGGUGACUGCAAGUCAUCAGUAAAUGAUUUUUGACAGCUGCUCAUUGGACUAGGCACAUUAGAAAUUAUAAGAUAAUAAUGAUAUGCUUUCCUUCAAGGAAGUCAGCUACAUUAGCAAUAGUAGACUCAAUUAUUUAAAAGCCAUUAUACAGUUCCUUUGCAAAUAUUUAUGAUUAAUCUACUCUUGCAGUAUUUUGCUUUCAAAUCAGAAAACACAGAAAUAUGUCAACUUUCUAGGCUUUAACAUAGUCUCUCAAAAAACUUGAUUUUCAAAUCCACACAUUGAAUAGUAAGUUAUUAAUUUAUUGGGCUUGAAUAUAAAGUGUUCUACUGUAGUUCCUCUCAUUGGCUGCUGUUUGAGGCAGUAUCUGGAAUUCUUUUUUUUAUAUAUAAUGUAUGUAAUCUGAAUUUUUUGUACAGUAAUAUGGUGUUUCAGCAAGUUUAGUUACAAACUUUAGAAAACAUUAAAAUCAAAGAAAGUACAGUAAUUAUAUUAUCAGUGGUGAUAAAAAUAUUAAAAUAGGAUUUUCAGAAAGAUCACAUUUUACUUUUUUUCUUGUAACACCCUUGCAAACAUAGCAUAUUGUUCCUUUAUACCUAGUCUGUAAUAAGGAGACUCAUUCACUGAUUGUUUUUUAAUUCAUAACCAUAAAAUAUGAGUUUAAUAUGUUACUGGCAUAACAUUUGAUUAUAUUUUGUUUCCUCAUGCUAUGCCAUUUUUAAAAUAAUAUCUCGUCCAUGAAAAAAUUUCUAAUAGUAUAAAGCUAUAAAAUGAAAUAAAAAUUUUAACCCUUGCCCUCAAGCUCUAAAUAGUACCUUUUUAAAUAAAAUUAUUGUUAAUUAAUAAUAAAAGCAUUAAAAACUUAACAUUUCUAUCCAUACAGCACUAUAUCAUAGACAUCUAUUUCUACUAGCACAAAUGGGUCUAAGUGAUUCUUUUUGGCUGCUUUGUGUUAUUUCAUUGUAUUGACAUACCCUACAUUAUUGAACCAGUCUUAUAACUAAUGAAAAUGAUAAUUAACACAGUUUUACCUAUAAUAUGACACUUUUAUCCUGUAUUAGUCUGUUUUGCAUUGCUGUGAAGAAAUACCUGAAGCUGGGUAAUUUAUAAGGAAAAGAAGUUCAUUUUGGCUUACAGUUCUGCAGACUGCACAAGAAGCAUGGUUCCAGCAUCUGCUUCCAGUGAGCGCUCAGGAAGCUUACAGUCGUGGCAGAAGGCCAGCGGGAAGCAAGCAUCUCACAUAGUGAGAGAAGAAGCAAGAGAGAGAGUGCAUAAGUGAGGAGAGUAGGUGCCCAGGCCUUUAAGCAAUUGGCUAUCAAGGGAACUAAUAGAAUGAGCACUCACUGAUUUCCACAGAGAGGGUACUAAGCUCUUCAUUGUGUAUUCACCCCUGUGACCCAAACACCUCCCACCAGGCCCUAUCUUCAGCGCUGGGAAUCACAUUUCAACAGGAGAUUUGGAGGGGACAAGUAGUCAAACUCUAUCAUAUCUAUAAAAUGAGCUCUUAUAAGUGGACUUGAUGGAUUGAGUUUAUGUGUUUUAUCAAGUUAGAUAUAUUUACAUGUAGUCUAAAAAAUAGGGAUAUUUCUCUGAAUGUACUUACCACCCCUUCAUUGACAGAAGUAUAUCUAACUUCUAAUUUAUUUUUAAAUCUUGUUUAAAUCUAUUUUUAUUUUAUUUGCCAUAAUACAUGAUUGUAUACUAUGAAUAAUACAUAUUUUAUAUUAUAAAUUUAUUAUUGAUUUAUUCAGUAUUCAGUUUUAG
rnacentral:lncRNA from 1 species